rnacentral:rRNA from 1 species
GGGCCCGACUCAUAUGAUGUUUAGGAAGGCCCCCGGGAGUGCCCCCACAUUAUAGCGAUGGGAGAAGCAUCGCCCCCACCCCCCGACGGGCGUUUAGAGGAUAGGCCUUUGCCUCCUCCUCCCACCCAACUAUAUCCACAUGCAGGGUGGGGGGGAGUCCCUACUAUUCUAUGGUAGCGGGGUAGGGGCUAUAGUAGUUGGGAGAGCAGUGAGCCCCGCCUAAAAUUUUAUGGGCGAACCACCCGAUCUGAGUUCAGAGAAAUGUCACCAGCAGCUCGCUUAGCCCUAUCCACCGUCAUUCUAGCAGGCGUCAUUAAUGAAGGGUGGGGGACAGGACCGGGUUAGCGAUUGAUGACACUCCAACCAACCGUACCACUCAGUGCUGCACUCACAAGAGACUGCCAGUGAUAUGCUGGAGGAAGGUGGGGAUGACGUCAAGUCCGCAUGGCCCUUAUGGGCUGGGCCACACACGUGCUACAAUGGCAAUGACAAUGGUGCAGAAGGCCGUAAGGCGGAGCAAAUCCAGAAAGGUUGCCGUAAGUUCGGAUUGUUCUCUGCAACUCGAGAACAUGAAGUUGGAAUCGCUAGUAAUCGCGGAUCAGCAUGCCGCGGUGAAUAUGUACCCGGGCCCUGUACACACCGCCCGUCACACCCUGGGAAUUGGUUUCGCCCGAAGCAUCGGACCAAGAAUCACCAAUCCCAAUCCUGCACCCCCACCACUAUAGUAGCGGUAGGGGUGGCCCUACCCCUACUAAGAUAGUUGGAUAGUUGGUUUGGUCCUAUUGGCGCAUACCACGGUGGGGUCUUCGACUGGGGUGAA